AAAAUUAAGCUAUGGAUACAUCAAUGAAAAACAUUAAUUUUUUUAUAUAAUUUAACUGAGUUAAAUUGUUCAAUUCUCAAUACAAAAUCAAUAUAAAUGUCUAAAAACACACAAAUUGUGUUCGAUUACAAUAACAAAUAAACUCAAAUAAACAAAUAAUAUUAAAUUAUUAUAUAACAAAAUCAUGAAUUUCACUCGAAAUAAAAUAAAUAAAAACAGCAUACCCACAAAUAUGGUACAAGUACCAGUACCAGUAACGGGUAACCACCAAGUAUGGGUACUUCACCAUUUUAGAAGUACUCCAUGCUUUAUAGCAUAAGAUGCAUAAGGAAUGUUUCAGCCAUUAUUUCGUAUAUAAAAUGCAAGCAAUAUCCCAAUCAUCUUCCACAUCAUUAAUUAGAACAAAAUAUAAAAUGACAAUAGGUAUUUAGCUCUACAGACAAUACCUGGAUAGAUGCUUUCCCAUUCUUUCAACAAAUAUUGAAUAAAAGUCACAAACCAAAGGUAGGUGGCAGUUCACAAUUUUAUGCUCUGAGACUAUGUAGUUCAGAUCAAGAAAUAUUGGGUAGCUGUUUUUACCAAUUUUAAGGCUGACAGAUAUGGUGACAGUUUGGUUUGAUGAAGCUGAAAUGCAUAUAUUAGUCUACGCAUAUAUCACAAUAUUUCGGAAGUCAGCGUGAUAACAGGCAAAUAGAGUAUAAUAAAGACUGAUUUAAGUUAAGACCAUUUUACUAAAAGUAACAGUAUAUAUUUAAUUAUUUAUGUAACACAUUCAUAUAAAGAAUGUUAUAUAGGAAGUUAGAGUUGAUUAUAAAGAAUACUGAUCAGUAAUUCCUUGGAUGAAUUUGUCUCAGUAGUCUUUCAUUCUUAAACUCCAAGUUCACAACACUAAAUUGAUCAUCAUCAACUCCAACUUUGCUCUGAGCAUAAACAAGAAUAGCAAUAGGAAAACAUUUUCAGCACACCAAAAGCAAUGGUAAGAAAAGCGAAACGAAGAUAAUAAAUUGAAAGGAAGAUUAACCAAUUAACAGAAUUCAAUUCCAAGACAGUAUUCAGGGUAACCAUUAAUACUGUAAUUAGAACUCCUU
rnacentral:lncRNA from 1 species